GGACUUGAUGCGGGAGAGCAUGGGAAGCCUUUCAGGCCACCCCAUCGCCGAAGGAGCAACCGCCCCGGAAUCUCUCAGGCCAAAGGACCGCAUCAUGGGC
rfam:Sphingobium sp. TKS chromosome 1, complete sequence.